AUGACACCACCUGUGAAGAAUAGGAACCCCAGAUCAAAUUCCUCACAUGGAUCAAAUUCCUCAAAAGGAUCAAAGUCCUCAUAUGAACAUCAUCGUGCUAACAACUCUGUUUCGCAGGGAAGAGCUAAGGGCUAUGAAUAUGAGCAUUAUUCUUCUAAUCAUUAUGUUCAUAAGUCCUCGAAGAAUUUCUCUGCUUAUUCAUAUGCUUACCCUAACUCCUCUUAUGUGAAGCGAAAUGGACUGGCUUCUAUGCCACCUUUCUCGUAUGGAGCUCGCAGAAUGAUGAACUCUUUGCCACCCCUUCAGAUGUGGGUGGUGAAGAAAAAGAACUAA
rnacentral:rRNA from 1 species